CUGCUGCGGGCAGAUAAAAUGAAUAUGGGUAUCAAUCGCGCCCGCCGUAACAAUCUUCCCCUCGCCAGCAAUAACAUCCGUACAGCUCCCGACCACCAUUCCCGGCGUCACUCCAUCCAUCACAUCCGGAUUGCCCGCCUUCCCGAUCCCGCUAAUCACCCCAUUCUUGACGCCAAUAUCAGCCUUAUAAAUCCCCGUAUAAUCGAUUACCAGCGCGUUGGUAAUGACCAGAUCAAGAGUGUCUGCGUCCGAUCGCCCCGUCGCCUGCCCCAUCCCA
rnacentral:sRNA from 1 species